GAGAACAAGGUGGACGAGGAGGACAAGGAUUUGUACUCGUUUCGAGGUGGUUAGCGAUGGUCGUUGGAGGUGGUUUGCGGUGGUCAGAGGUGUAUAGGGGUGGUUGCGGGUGAUCUAGGGGGACGAGGAGGAGGCCAAGGGGGAGGAGGACGAGGAGAAUAAGGUGGAAGAGGAAGACGAGGAUUUCUGCAAAGUAUAACCCGAGGUGGUUGUCGGUGGUUCUUGGAGUUGGUCAGAGGUGGACGAGGAGGAGGACGAGGAAGACGAGGAGAAC